rnacentral:rRNA from 1 species
UACAGAGGUCUCAAGCGUUGUUCGGAUUCAUUGGGCGUAAAGGGUGCGUAGGCGGCGCGGUAAGUCGGGUGUGAAAUCUCGGAGCUUAACUCCGAAACUGCAUUCGAUACUGCCGUGCUUGAGGACUGGAGAGGAGACUGGAAUUUACGGUGUAGCUGGUGAAAUGCGUAGAUAUCGUAAGGAAGACCAGUGGCGAAGGCGGGUCUCUGGACAGUUCCUGACGCUGAGGCACGAAGGUCGGGGGAGCAAACGGG